rnacentral:rRNA from 1 species
GUGGGGAAUUUUGGACAAUGGGGGCAAGCCUGAUCCAGCCAUGCCGCGUGCAGGAUGAAGGCCUUCGGGUUGUAAACUGCUUUUGUACGGAACGAAAAGGCUCUUUCUAAUAAAUGGGGCUCAUGACGGUACCGUAAGAAUAAGCACCGGCUAACUACGUGCCAGCAGCCGCGGUAAUACGUAGGGUGCGAGCGUUAAUCGGAAUUACUGGGCGUAAAGGGUGCGCAGGCGGUCUUGCAAGUCAGAUGUGAAAGCCCCGGGCUUAACCUGGGAAUUGCGUUUGAAACUACAAGGCUAGAGUGCAGAAGAGGAAAGUGGAAUUCCAUGUGUAGCAGUGAAAUGCGUAGAGAUGUGGAAGAACACCGAUGGCGAAGGCAGCUCCCUGGGUUGACACUGACGCUCAUGCACGAAAGCGUGGGGAGCAAACAGGAUUAGAUACCCUGGUAGUCCACGCCCUAAACGAUGUCAACUGGUUGUUGGGAAUUAACUUUCUCAGUAACGAAGCUAACGCGUGAAGUUGACCGCCUGGGGAGUACGGCCGCAAGGUUAAAACUCAAAGGAAUUGACGG